rnacentral:rRNA from 1 species
UCAGGCCUAACACAUGCAAGUCGAACGAAGUAGCAAUACUUAGUGGCAGACGGGUGAGUAACAUGUAGGUAUCUGCCCUUUGGCCUGGAAUAACACGAGGAAACUUGUGCUAAUACCGGAUAAGUCUUUACGGAGAAAGCUUUAUGCACCAUUGGAUGAGCCUGCACUUGAUUAGUUUGUUGGUGGGGUAAUGGCCUACCAAGACUUUGAUCAAUAGCUGAUUUGAGAGGAUGAUCAGCCACAUUGGGACUGAGACACGGCCCAAACUCCUACGGGAGGCAGCAGUGGGGAAUCUUGCACAAUGGAGGAAACUCUGAUGCAGCGAUGCCGCGUGAGUGAAGAAGGCCUUUGGGUUGUAAAGCUCUUUCGUCGGGGAAGAAAAUGACUGUACCCGAAUAAGAAGGUCCGGCUAACUUCGUGCCAGCAGCCGCGGUAAUACGAAGGGACCUAGCGUAGUUCGGAAUUACUGGGCUUAAAGAGUUCGUAGGUGGUUGAAAAAGUUGGUGGUGAAAUCCCAGAGCUUAACUCUGGAACUGCCAUCAAAACUUUUCAGCUAGAGUUUGAUAGAGGAAAGCAGAAUUUCUAGUGUAGAGGUGAAAUUCGUAGAUAUUAGAAAGAAUACCAAUUGCGAAGGCAGCUUUCUGGAUCAUUACUGACACUGAGGAACGAAAGCAUGGGUAGCGAAGAGGAUUAGAUACCC